GCUUGAGGUCCCGGUGAAUAACCCGGUUUCGGUGCAGGUACUGGCAGCCGAGGACGAUCUGCCGCAGGUAGUAGCGGGCCUCGGGCUCGAUCCCUUUCGCCACCGCUCUUCCCCGGAAGCUCCGAAGUUUGGCUUCAACCACCCUCUCCCUGACUCGACCCCACUCCGGAAUCUCCGGGUCCACAGCACCCCUUACCUGGGACUCCUCCCUUAGCAACUCCGCUCAAGGUUCCCAGCACCUCCUCCCUACCAGCUCCGAGCCCCGGACGCCCCAACCCCGGCCCCCGGGCAGCUCCAGUCUCC